rnacentral:rRNA from 1 species
CCUACGGGUGACAGCAGUAGGGAAUUUUCGUCAAUGGGCGCAAGCCUGAACGCGCAAUGCCGCGUUAACGAGGAAGGUCUUCGGAUCGUAAAGUUCUGUUGAAGGGGAAAAAGAGCGGAGAGAGGAAAUGGUCUCCGAUUGAUAUUACCCUUCGAGGAAGUCACGGCUAACUACGUGCCAGCAGCCGCGGUAAUACGUAGGUGGCGAGCGUUAUCCGGAAUGAUUGGGCGUAAAGGGUGCGUAGGCGGCCUGCUAAGUCUGGUGUGAAAGGUACCGGCUCAACCGGUACAGGCUCUGGAAACUGGCGGGCUAGAGAGCAGGAGAGGGCGGUGGAACUCCAGGUGUAGCGGUAAAAUGCGUAGAUAUAUGGAAGAACACCAGUGGCGAAGGCGGCCGCCUGGCCUGUUACUGACGCUGAGGCACGAAAGCGUGGGGAGCAAAUAGGAUUAGAUACCCGGGUAGUC